rnacentral:piRNA from 1 species
UGGAAAUCUAAAAUCCGCAGU